GUACACGCUGUGACUAGCAUAUCAAUAAGCGGAGGAAAAGAAACUAACAAGGAUUCCCCUAGUAACGGCGAGUGAAGCGGGAAGAGCUCAAAUUUGAAAUCUUAAAGGGUUUCCCUUUACGAAUUGUAGUUUAAAGAAGUGUUUUCUGUUGAGGUUUUGGUAAAAGUUCUUUGGAAUAGGACAUCAUAGAGGGUGAGAAUCCCGUAUUUGACCUUUACUUUCAACUUUGUGAUACACUUUCAAAGAGUCGGAUUGUUUGGGAAUGCAGUCCAAAAUGGGUGGUAAAUUUCAUCUAAAGCUAAAUAUUGGCGAGAGACCGAUAGCGAACAAGUACCGUGAGGGAAAGAUGAAAAGAACUUUGAAAAGAGAGUUAAACAGUACGUGAAAUUGUCAAAAGGGAAGCGUUUGACACCAGUGUUGUUUUUCUGAAAAUCAAUUAAAGAACUGUUUAUGCUAAGUUGUUUAGACUUUAUCAGCUAACUGUUUAGUUUUGAGCUUUUCUUUAAUGCACUUUUCAGUUAACAAGUCAACAUCAAUUUCUUUUGCUGUAAAAAAGCUUGAGGAAGGUGGCUUGAGAUUCGUCUUAAGUGUUUAUAGCCUCUUGCCUAUGCAGUCGGAGAGAUUGAGGUCUGCAGCGUAGAUCCUUCGAGGCUAAAUGCAUUUGUGCUAAGUUAUAGCAUUUUAUAGACAACUUGUUGACUAUGAUUUGUCUUGUAGCUUACUCGCUUAAGUUAUUUUACCUACGCUUAGGAUGUUGAAGUCAUCGUAUCGCGC
rnacentral:rRNA from 1 species